rnacentral:rRNA from 1 species
GAUGAACGCUGGCGGCGUGCCUAGUACAUGCAAGUCGAGCGAAUGGAUUAAGAGCUUGCUCUUAUGAAGUUAGCGGCGGACGGGUGAGUAACACGUGGGUAACCUGCCCAUAAGACUGGGAUAACUCCGGGAAACCGGGGCUGAUACCGGAUAACAUUUUGAACCGCAUGGUUCGAAAUUGAAAGGCGGCUUCGGCUGUCACUUAUGGAUGGACCCGCGUCGCAUUAGCUAGUUGGUGAGGUAACGGCUCACCAAGGCAACGAUGCGUAGCCGACCUGAGAGGGUGAUCGGCCACACUGGGACUGAGACACGGCCCAGACUCCUACGGGAGGCAGCAGUAGGGAAUCUUCCGCAAUGGACGAAAGUCUGACAGAGCGACGCCGCGUGAGUGAUGAAGGCUUUCGGGUCGUAAAACUCUGUUGUUAGGGAAGAACAAGUGCUAGUUGAAUAAGCUGGCACCUUGACGGUACCUAACCAGAAAGCCACGGCUAACUACGUGCCAGCCGCCGCCGUAA